rnacentral:rRNA from 1 species
CCUACGGGAGGCAGCAGUGGGGAAUAUUGGACAAUGGGCGCAAGCCUGAUCCAGCCAUACCGCGUGGGUGAAGAAGGCCUUCGGGUUGUAAAGCCCUUUUGUUGGGAAAGAAAUCCAGCCGGCUAAUACCUGGUUGGGAUGACGGUACCCAAAGAAUAAGCACCGGCUAACUUCGUGCCAGCAGCCGCGGUAAUACGAAGGGUGCAAGCGUUACUCGGAAUUACUGGGCGUAAAGCGUGCGUAGGUGGUUAUUUAAGUCCGUUGUGAAAGCCCUGGGCUCAACCUGGGAACUGCAGUGGAUACUGGAUGACUAGAAUGUGGUAGAGGGUAGCGGAAUUCCUGGUGUAGCAGUGAAAUGCGUAGAGAUCAGGAGGAACAUCCAUGGCGAAGGCAGCUACCUGGACCAACAUUGACACUGAGGCACGAAAGCGUGGGGAGCAAACAGGAUUAGAUACCCUAGUAGUC